rnacentral:rRNA from 1 species
AUUGAACGCUGGCGGCAUGCCUUACACAUGCAAGUCGAACGGUAACAGGUCUUCGGAUGCUGACGAGUGGCGAACGGGUGAGUAAUGCAUCGGAACGUGCCCAGUUGUGGGGGAUGACUGCUCGAAAGAGCAGCUAAUACCGCAUACGACCUGAGGGUGAAAGCGGGGGAUCGCAAGACCUCGCGCAAUUGGAGCGGCCGAUGUCAGAUUAGGGAGUUGGUGGGGUAAAGGCCUACCAAGCCGACGAUCUGUAGUUGGUCUGAGAGGACGACCAGCCACACUGGGACUGAGACACGGCCCAGACUCCUACGGGAGGCAGCAGUGGGGAAUUUUGGACAAUGGGCGCAAGCCUGAUCCAGCAAUGCCGCGUGCAGAAAGAAGGCCUUCGGGUUGUAAACUGCUUUUGUCAGGGAAGAAAUCCUCUGGGUUAAUACCCCGGGGGGCUGACGGUACCUGAAGAAUAAGCACCGGCUAACUACGUGCCAGCCGCCGCGGUAAAAC